rnacentral:rRNA from 1 species
AUUGAACGCUGGCGGCAUGCCUUACACAUGCAAGUCGAACGGCAGCACGGGAGCUUGCUCCUGGUGGCGAGUGGCGAACGGGUGAGUAAUACAUCGGAACGUACCCUGAAGUGGGGGAUAACGUAGCGAAAGUUACGCUAAUACCGCAUAUUCUGUGAGCAGGAAAGAGGGGGAUCGCAAGACCUCUUGCUUUAGGAGCGGCCGAUGUCGGAUUAGCUAGUUGGUGAGGUAAAGGCUCACCAAGGCGACGAUCCGUAGCGGGUCUGAGAGGAUGAUCCGCCACACCGGGACUGAGACACGGCCCAGACUCCUACGGGAGGCAGCAGUGGGGAAUUUUGGACAAUGGGCGCAAGCCUGAUCCAGCCAUGCCGCGUGAGUGAAGAAGGCCUUCGGGUUGUAAAGCUCUUC